AGCUCCACAAGACUACCCCCUUCACAUGCCAGCAGCAAAUAUGGGGCCCAAGUUACCCACAUUUCUGCCCAGCUGACUACAAAUUCUGGUUUCCAUGACCCCCUCUCAGGUUUGAUAGUUUGCUAGAACAACUCACAAAGUGAAGGAAAAUGGUGUACUUACUAUUACUGGCUUAUUAUAAAGGCUACAACUCAGAAACAGCCAAACGGAGGAGAUGCACAGAGCAAGGUGUGACCAGUCCGCAUCCUGAUACUAUCUCGGAGUCCCCCAGCCAAGAAUCAUCUCAUCAG
rnacentral:lncRNA from 1 species